rnacentral:rRNA from 1 species
CCUACGGGUGGCAGCAGUGAGGAAUAUUGGUCAAUGGACGCAAGUCUGAACCAGCCAAGCCGCGUGCAGGAAGACGGCUCUAUGAGUUGUAAACUGCUUUUGUACGAGGGUAAACGCAGAUACGCGUAUCUGUCUGAAAGUAUCGUACGAAUAAGGAUCGGCUAACUCCGUGCCAGCAGCCGCGGUAAUACGGAGGAUUCAAGCGUUAUCCGGAUUUAUUGGGUUUAAAGGGUGCGUAGGCGGUCGGAUAAGUUAGAGGUGAAAUCCCGAGGCUCAACUUCGGAAUUGCCUCUGAUACUGUUCGGCUAGAGAGUAGUAGCGGUAGGCGGAAUGUAUGGUGUAGCGGUGAAAUGCUUAGAUAUCAUACAGAACACCGAUUGCGAAGGCAGCUUACCAAGCUACUACUGACGUUGAUGCACGAAAGUGUGGGUAGCAAACAGGAUUAGAUACCCCUGUAGUC